rnacentral:rRNA from 1 species
UACGUAGGGUGCAAGCGUUGUCCGGAAUUAUUGGGCGUAAAGAGCUCGUAGGCGGUUUGUUGCGUCGGCUGUGAAAUCCCGAGGCUCAACCUCGGGUCUGCAGUCGAUACGAGCAAACUAGAGUGUUGCAGGGGAGACUGGAAUUCCCGGUGUAGCGGUGAAAUGCGCAGAUAUCGGGAGGAACACCAACGGCGAAGGCAGCACUCUGGGCUGGAACUGACGCUGAGGAGCGAAAGCGUGGGUAGCAAACAGG